CGCUCCCGGUCCCCCGCCCCCGGCCCUCGCCUUCACCUUGACCUGAGCCCGCUCCGGGGCCCAGGAGCUUUGCAUAAACAAAGAGAGAAGGAGGAGACGAUCAGGGCACCGCCCUCGGCCCGCCGGCGCCCCCGCACCCGUCCCGGGACCCCAAGUCCAUCCCGUGCGCAAGCCCCCGGUGGGGCCAGCCCGCCCGCAGCCCCCUUACCUUGGCCUGGCAUUUCCGAUGACAGGAGAAGCUGCAGACUGCAAGAGGGCGAGACACAGAAAGAAAGUUUAGCCGCGAGGGUAACAUGUCACAUCGCAGGGGAACAAGGACAGGAGAACGCCAGCCCCGGCUCCUAGCAUCCCUCAGAGGCCUGAGUCCUCCCUGGACACACGUCUGAGGACCAACCCCACUGGAACAGACUCCACUGAAGUCCAGUGACCCUGCAAGACAAAGUCCCCCAGCCGGGGAGGGACCGUGUCCAACCAAAGCUCCGUGGAACCCAGGAGCCCCCACCUCAGCCCCUGGGUGUCAACACUGCCCACCUACCCCCCACAGCAGCCCUGCAGCAGGGAGGGGUCUGCAGGUUACCUGCAGGGGUGGAGCGUCGUUACCCCAGCCCCAGCCCUUGGCCACCUCCUGCCUCCCCAGGCAGCUCGGACUCUGUCCUGGGGUGGCUUCCGGCCUCUCAGGAACACAGGAAGCCAACAUUGUUGGGAUCUAAAUGGCCUUUUCCUCCUGGCCUCGGGUCGGAAAAUGAGCACAUAGCCUUGGUGUGCACCUGACCCCAGUAUAACUGCCUGCCUGCCCAGCCAGCCUCCGCUUCUUCCCCAGCCGCGAAGAGACCUUCACAGCACCCACCUGCCCACCAGGACUCACAGCCCUCCCCUGCUUUGCUUCUUUCCAUGGCCUGGCCUGGAGGUGGGUCUUGUCCAAUCAGUUGAAGGCCCGAACCACAAAGAUUGAUCUCCCCCAGCAAGAAGAAAUGCUGCCAGCAUUGGGACUUGAACUGCAGCUCCUCCCCGGGUUUCCAACUUAAUGAUCUGCCCUGCAGAUUUUGGACUUGCCUAGUCUCUGCAAUCAUGUGAGCCAAUUCCUUAAAAUAAAUGCC